rnacentral:rRNA from 1 species
CGUAAGGCAGCGUACACAUGCAAGUCGAGCGGUAACAGGGGUAGCUUGCUACCCGCUGACGAGCGGCGGACGGGUGAGUAAUGCAUAGGAAUCUACCCGGUAGUGGGGGAUAACCUGGGGAAACCCAGGCUAAUACCGCAUACGUCCUACGGGAGAAAGGGGGCUUUGGCUCCCGCUAUCGGAUGAGCCUAUGCCGGAUUAGCUGGUUGGUGAGGUAAUGGCUCACCAAGGCGACGAUCCGUAGCUGGUCUGAGAGGAUGAUCAGCCACAUCGGGACUGAGACACGGCCCGAACUCCUACGGGAGGCAGCAGUGGGGAAUAUUGGACAAUGGGCGAAAGCCUGAUCCAGCCAUGCCGCGUGUGUGAAGAAGGCCCUCGGGUUGUAAAGCACUUUCAGUGAGGAAGAACGCCUGUCGGUUAAUACCCGGCAGGAAAGACAUCACUCACAGAAGAAGCACCGGCUAACUCCGUGCCAGCAGCCGCGGUAAUACGGAGGGUGCAAGCGUUUAUCGGAAUUACUGGGCGUAAACGCCCGAUAGGGUUUAUAACCGGUGUGAUAAAGCCCCGGGCUCAACCUGGGAACGGCAUCCGGAACUUGUC